rnacentral:rRNA from 1 species
CCUACGGGAGGCAGCAGUGGGGAAUAUUGCACAAUGGGCGCAAGCCUGAUGCAGCCAUGCCGCGUGUAUGAAGAAGGCCUUCGGGUUGUAAAGUACUUUCAGCGGGGAGGAAGGGAUUGUGGUUAAUAACCGCAGUCAUUGACGUUACCCGCAGAAGAAGCACCGGCUAACUCCGUGCCAGCAGCCGCGGUAAUANGGAGGGUGCAAGCGUUAAUCGGAAUUACUGGGCGUAAAGCGCACGCAGGCGGUCUGUCAAGUCGGAUGUGAAAUCCCCGGGCUCAACCUGGGAACUGCAUUCGAAACUGGCAGGCUUGAGUCUCGUAGAGGGGGGGGGAAUUCCAGGUGUAGCGGUGAAAUGCGUAGAGAUCUGGAGGAAUACCGGUGGCGAAGGCGGCCCCCUGGACGAAGACUGACGCUCAGGUGCGAAAGCGUGGGGAGCAAACAGGAUUAGAUACCCUGGUAGUCCACGCCGUAAACGAUGUCUACUUGGAGGUUGUGCCCCUGAGGCGUGGCUUCCGGAGCUAACGCGUUAAGUAGACCGCCUGGGGAGUACGGCCGCAAGGUUAAAACUCAAAUGAAUUGACGGGGGCCCGCACAAGCGGUGGAGCAUGUGGUUUAAUUCGAUGCAACGCGAAGACCC